UACAGGGGGUGCAAACGUUGCCGUCGGAAUUAUUGGGCGUAAAGCGCGCGUAGGCGGUCGCUUAAGUCGGAUGUGAAAGCCCUUGGCUUAACCGAGGAAGUGCAUCCGAAACUAAGCAGCUAGAGUACGAAAGAGGGUCGCGGAAUUCCCGGUGUAGAGGUGAAAUUCGUAGAUAUCGGGAGGAACACCGGUGGCGAAGGCGGCGAUCUGGGUAGAUACUGACGCUGAGGUGCGAAAGCGUGGGGAGCAAACAGG
rnacentral:rRNA from 1 species